rnacentral:rRNA from 1 species
UACGGGGGGGGCGAGCGUUGUUCGGAAUUAUUGGGCGUAAAGGGAGCGUAGGCGGUGCGGUAAGUUCGGUGUGAAACCUCCAGGCUUAACUUGGAGCUGGCAUCGAAUACUGCCGUGCUAGAGUGUGGGAGGGGAGAGUGGAAUUCCCGGUGUAGCGGUGAAAUGCGUAGAUAUCGGGGAGGAACAUCGGUGGCGAAGGCGGCUCUCUGGACCACAACUGACGCUGAGGCUCGAAAGCUAGGGGAGCAAACAGGAGUU